rnacentral:rRNA from 1 species
UGGGGGAACCCAGCAUGAGUUAUGUCAUGUUAUCGACAUGUGAAUUCAUAGCAUGUCAGAAGGCAGACCCGGAGAACUGAAACAUCUUAGUACCCGGAGGAAGAGAAAGAAAAAUCGAUUCCCUGAGUAGCGGCGAGCGAAACGGGAAGAGCCCAAACCAACAAGCUUGCUUGUUGGGGUUGUAGGACACUCUAUACGGAGUUACAAAAGAACAUGUUAGACGAAUCAUCUGGAAAGAUGAAU